rnacentral:rRNA from 1 species
AGCGUAGGUGGCAUUCUAAGUCUGAUGUGAAAGCUCUGAGCUUAACUCAGAAAUGGCAUUAGAAACUAGUUUGCUUGAGGAUUGGAGGGGAGAUUGGAAUACUUGGUGUAGCAGUGAAAUGCGUAGAUAUCAAGUGGAACACCAGUGGCGAAGGCGAAUCUCUGGACAAUUCCUGCACUGAUGCUCGAAAGCGUAGGGAGGCAAAC